AUCCAGUUGGAAAUCGCAAAGAUGCAGGUAGAUUUGUGUGUUAUCUGCAUAUAAAUGAUAAUAGAAAUGAAAUGGGGUGAUGAGUUUACCAAGGGAGGCAGUAUAGAUGGAAAACAGUAGGGGACCAAGGACAAAACCUUGGGGAACACCAACAGAGAGCGGUUGGGGAGAAGAGGCAGAGCCAGAGAAAGAAACACUGAAAAAGCACUGGGAGAGGUAAGAGGAGCACCAGGAGAGAGCAGAAUGAUUACAGAGAAUGAUUAUGGAGAAUGAGAAGAAGCUGUUAAUGAUCAACA